AAGCUUGUUAUGACGCACUUUGAAUUUCCGAGCAAGUCGCAGCCUUUUCAGAUUCAUCAACACAGGUUACAUCAGUAGUCAAUAUGGUUCAGAUGCAUAAUAGUACGUACUUCAUUUCCUUUUUGUUGUGUACGGUGUCCUACAACAUGGAUCAUAUAUAUCGGUUAUCUUUCAGGUUCAGUUUGCUGUGGCAAAUUCUUCUUGAAUUUGUUGCAGCAAACUUGUGGUCAUGUAUGGUUUUUAGUUUUGCAAGCAUGCAUAGUUUAGAAGUUAGAAAGCUCGUUCAUGUAUUGUUCUAAACUGAAAGUUUAAGUGGCUUUUCCACCCAUGGUAUUGUGGUGGUCAUAAUAGCACACCUCACAAUUAUUAUGGCCAGAUCUACAAGCACUGAGCGUUGUGUUUUUUAGCCCCCUCUGUUUCUCCUGGGCAUCAAUCUAUGCGCAACAAGCUCUUCAGUGCUUGAUGACAAAUAAAGGUUGCAUCUUAGAUAUUUGCUUGAUUUGAAUGAGCCAUUUUGCUGUCAGCUAAACUGUUAAAAGUCAGAUGUAAGAUUAUGUUUCUUGGCACAUGAGUUAUUUUUCAGUCAACGCGUGGCGAGUCCACUUCGAACUGAUAUAUGCACUUUUUAUUUGAAACUGAACCACCAUGGUUUAAUUUUAUUUUCAUUUGGACAAGUUACCCCAAGUAUCAUCAGUUCAUGAUGACUGGUUUGGUGUGAUGAAUUGAUCCUGGUGCUGAUUUAAGAGUUUUUUAUGAUGCUGUCUUGUAAGGGAGUAAGGUCCGGUAUCUAUAUGGCUGUUAUUUUAGCUCUUAUAGAUUGCCAUAUAUGACAUGCUAAUUGUUUUUAGCUCUUGAUAUAGUUAAACUUUUUUUUUCGAAACGGAGGCAAAAGAUUUGCCUCAUCCAUUAAAUGGGAGGAGAAUAGAGUUAAACUUUGGAUGCACCAGUGCCUGAUGCAUAUGUUUGUUUACUUGGUUUGAACUCUGAAUGAUAUGUUGUUAUCCUGCACGCAUGCCUGAUGAGUUGGUGCUGCUGGUAUUUUGAGGAGGCAAGUUGUGGUUUUACUCCUGGCCCUGAGAAGGGUGAACUAGGCCAUAGCGAGUGCGCCUUCAGGAACAUCGAGUCAGGGUGCCUCACUUUCUAUUUCAGUCUGCGAGGUUUUCAACAUCACGAAUUUCAUACUUAUGGAGUGGAGCUACCAAAAUAUCUAUUGAGGAAAUAUGUCGAAGCACAGAAUAUAUUCCAUAUGCAGUGGACUAACAGAACGACACAACACAUAAAAAGAGGAGUAUAAGUGGAAACCUUUCUUUCUCUUUAAAUUCUUGAGGACUGUAACAUUAUGAUGAAGGUGGAACCAUAGAGAGAUGUGUAUUUUUAAUUGAGAUAUUUUCAGGAGUACCUUUGCAAAGCUGAUAUAUCUUUCUUUUACAAGA